GGAGGAAACCGAAAUUACCAUGGCCAUUGCCACCAUUUCUUCUCCCCUCUCCAUCCCACUAUCAAAUGCUACUCACCUACUAAGCCCCCAGAACCAGCCAGCACCAAGUGCCAGGAGAUGCAAUUCCAGAAUUGGGUCACUCAAAUCUUGCAAAAAUUUCAACGAAAUUAAACAAUUUCACGCCCAUAUGACAAAACGAGGUCUUUCUGACAACCCCACUGAGCUAACUAGGCUUAUAUCUAAGUACUCUGAAGUGGGCACUAUUGAAAGUUUAGAAUACGCACGUAUAGCCUUUAAGAUUUUGAAUAAUGUUGAAUCCAAUAGUAUAAAUGCUUAUAUAUUUAAUUCUUUGAUAAAAGGUUAUUCUUCGUCUGGGCUCAUAGAUGAAGCUAUUUUGGUUUUCGUAGAAAUGGUUAGUCAAGGGGUUGGAGCUGAUAGCUAUACGUUUCCCUUUGUUUUGGGUACUUGUGUAAAAGGGGAAAGGUUUUCCGAGGGGAAUCAGGUACAUGGACUGGCUGUGAAAAUGGGUUUGGGAGAUAAUAUGUUCGUGUCAAACUCAUUAGUUCAUUUCUAUGGAGAAUGCGGGGAGGUUGAUAAUGGCCGCAAAGUGUUUGAUAAAAUGUGUGAAAGAAAUGUUGUGUCUUGGACUAGUUUGAUUGAUGGAUAUGUAAGGAUUAACCAACCCAAAGAGGCUGUUACUCUGUUUUUUGAAAUGAUUGAGGAUGGGAUUAUGCCUAAUUUAGUGACUAUGGCGUGUGUGAUUUCUGCUUGUGCAAAGUUAGGGGAUUUAGAUUUGGGGGAAAGAGUGUGUACUUUUAUUGGAGAAUCAGGGCUGAAGGUCAACAAUAUUGUGGUAAAUGCUUUAGUGGAUAUGUAUAUGAAGUGUGGAGCUAGUGACAGGGCAAAACAGCUUUUUGAGGGAUAUGGUGAUAGAAAUCUGGUUCUUUAUAAUACAGUUUUGACAAAUUAUGUGCACAAUGGGUUUGCCAAGGAAGCGCUUGAUGUCUUGAAUGAAAUGCUACAUCAAGGACCUCGUCCUGAUAGAGUCACUCUAUUGGCUACUUUUGCAACCUCUGCACAAGUGGGUGAUGUUUUUUUAGGGAAGCAAUGCCAUGGGUAUGCUUUGAGGAAUGGGUUAGAGAUUUGGGACUCUGUUGGCAAUGCAAUUAUUGAUAUGUAUAUGAAAUGCGGGAAGGAGGAACUUGGUUGCAGAGUAUUCAAUCAUAUGUCAAACAAGACAGUGGUAUCUUGGAACUCACUGAUUGCAGGCUUUGUUAGAAAUGGAGAUGUAGGGAAAGCUCAAGAAAUCUUCAAUCAGAUGACAGAAAAGAAUCUUGUUUCAUGGAACACCAUUAUUGGUGGUUUGGUGCAAGAGAGCCUGUUUGAAGAUGCAAUUCAUUUAUUCCGUAUCAUGCUGAAUGAGGGGAUAAAAGCAAAUGAAAUGACAAUGGUGAGUGUGGCAUGUGCUUGUGGGUACUUGGGCGCUCUUGAUCUUGCAAAAUGGAUCUACAGCUAUGUUGAGAAAACUGAAAUCAAUUGCGAUAUUCAGCUUAGCACAGCUCUUCUUGAUAUGUUCGCUCGAUGUGGCGAUAUUUCUAGUGCAAUGGAAGUGUUCAACAAGAUGAAGGUGAGGGAUGUUUCUGCUUGGAGUGCUGCAAUUGGAGCUACAGCCAAGGAAGGAAAUGGUAAACGUGCGGUUGAACUAUUCUACGAGAUGCUCCAAGAAGAUGUGAAACCCGAUGAAGUUGUGUUCGUUGCUGUACUGACAGCAUGCAGCCAUGGGGGUUUAGUAGAAGAAGGAAAGAAUAUUUUUAGGAGUAUGGAGGAGAUCCAUGGAAUCUCCCCGCAGAUUGUGCAUUAUGGCUGCCUUGUUGAUUUGCUUGGCCGUGCUGGUUUAUUGGAUGAAGCUCUUAAUGUAAUCAAUAACAUGCCAAUUGAACCCAAUAGUGCAGUAUGGGGGGCUCUAUUAGCUGCUUGUAGGAAACACAAAAAUGAUGAAAUGGCAACUCGUGCAGCUGAGAUGAUCGGUGAGCCAGCCUCCGAUGAAAAUGGGAUCCAUGUGCUUCUAUCGAAUAUUUAUGCUCAUGCAGGAAAGUGGAGUGAUGUUGCAAAGGUGAGGCUCUCCAUGAAGGAAAAAGGGAUAAGGAAAUGCCCUGGCUCAAGCUCAAUUGAGGUUAACGGUGUAAUUCAUGAGUUUACUUCAGCUGAUGAAUCUCACAUGGAAAAAACUCAAAUAAACAUAAUGCUAGAGGAGAUGUAUUCUAGACUCAGAGGUGCUGGUUAUGUUCCUGACCUAACUAAUGUUUUGCUUGAUAUCGAUGAUCAAGAAAAAGAGUUCUCUCUCAGUCGACAUAGUGAGAAAAUGGCCAUGGCCUUUGGGCUCAUUUCUACGCAACAGCGGUGCCCCAUACGUAUUGUAAACAACCUUCGUAUGUGUUCUGACUGCCAUUCAUUUGCAAAGUUUGUUUCAAAAGUAUACAACCGAGAUGUUGUUGUUCGUGAUAACAACCGUUUCCACUUCUUUCGACAAGGGCUAUGCUCUUGUGGAGAUUAUUGGUAGCGUUGGAAUUUUUUUUUAAAGGUGAUUGUGCUAUGUUGGAAGGAUAUUCUAAUGGAAGAGAGCAAUUUACAGAAUAUUUGGAAGGAUAUAAAUCACGGUGACUCAAUGACUUAACAGAUAGGGCUUUGCCCACUUUGGACAUAAUCCACACACUACCGCUACCGAGGUUUGAGCCUUCGCUUCUUCUCUCAAAUACUGCUUACUGAACCAUUGAAUUAAGUUCGUGCUGACAUUUUUUGUUUUGUUUUGUUUUGUUUUG